CCUACGGGUGGCUGCAGUGAGGAAUAUUGGUCAAUGGUCGGGAGACUGAACCAGCCAAGCCGCGUGAGGGAGGAAGGUACAGAGUAUCGUAAACCUCUUUUGUCAGGGAACAAAGGCGGGGACGUGUCCCCGGAUGAGUGUACCUGAAGAAAAAGCAUCGGCUAACCCCGUGCCAGCAGCCGCGGUAAUACGGAGGAUGCGAGCGUUAUCGGGAUUUAUUGGGUUUAAGGGGUGCGCAGGCGGUCUGUUAAGUCAGCGGUAAAAGCCCGGGGCUCAACCCCGACCCGCCGUUGAAACUGGCAGUCGCGAGUUGGAGAGAGGUAUGCGGAAUGCGCGGUGUAGCGGUGAAAUGCAUAGAUAUCGCGCAGAACUCCGAUUGCGAAGGCAGCAUGCCGGCUCCACACUGACGCUGAGGCACGAAAGCGUGGGGAUCGAACAGGAUUAGAUACCCCAGUAGUC
rnacentral:rRNA from 1 species